rnacentral:lncRNA from 1 species
UUUUCCAGAAAAAUCCAAAUGCUCCAGAAAUGAAAAUCAAACACAUCAUUCAACUCAUUAGGCAUCAUACAUCAAGAAUCCAUGAAUUUUUCAUGCAAAAACAACAUCAAACGCAUGGAUCGAAGGAAAUAAAAAUCAUCAUCCAAACUUGAAAUGCAUGUAACUUGCUCAAUUCAACACCAAAUCAAUCCAAAUUUCCAUCAGAAUUACCACCAUUCCAUGAUCUACAAGAUAGGCAUAAUGAAUUGCAAAAUUAAAGAGGUCGAAA